AAGUAAAAGUCGUAACAAGGUCUCCGUAGGUGAACCUGCGGAGGGAUCAUUACUGAGUGAGGGCCUUCGGGCUCGACCUCCAACCCUUUGUGAACACAACUUGUUGCUUCGGGGGCGACCCUGCCGUUUCGACGGCGAGCGCCCCCGGAGGCCUUCAAACACUGCAUCUUUGCGUCGGAGUUUAAGUAAAUUAAACAAAACUUUCAACAACGGAUCUCUUGGUUCUGGCAUCGAUGAAGAACGCAGCGAAAUGCGAUAAGUAAUGUGAAUUGCAGAAUUCAGUGAAUCAUCGAAUCUUUGAACGCACAUUGCGCCCCUUGGUAUUCCGAGGGGCAUGCCUGUUCGAGCGUCAUUUCACCACUCAAGCCUCGCUUGGUAUUGGGCGCCGCGGUGUUCCGCGCGCCUCAAAGUCUCCGGCUGAGCUGUCCGUCUCUAAGCGUUGUGAUUUCAUUAAUCGCUUCGGAGCGCGGGCGGUCGCGGCCGUUAAAUCUUUCACAAGGUUGACCUCGGAUCAGGUAGGGAUACCCGCUGAACUUAAGCAU
rnacentral:rRNA from 1 species